UAAAACAGCCGUUCCACCCGGAUCCGUGCAGACACCCCGGGCCGGCGCGGCGUCCGCGCUUCCACGCGGAUCCUUCACGAGGGAAACUCCUGCGUUAUGUGCCAGGAGGUCUACGGAUAAGGAAACUGAGCUCCCAGAAGUGAAGCGACUGGCCCCAGCGCUCCAGCCAGGGCGGAAAGGGCAUUCCGGCCACCCAGCGGAACCCCCCUCCCCUUCGGCCCGGCCCCAGGGCGGGGCCUCAGCGUUGUCUCCGGCCGCCCAGCCCGCGCUGACCCCAAAAGGAAAUGUGUGGCGUGGGGCUGAGUGAGCCCCUGGCCUCGCCCCUGAUCUGAGCAGGCCGGCUCGCCUUCCUCUCCCUCCGUUUCUCUUUGUGAAGGCUGGAAGCUGGCCAGUUGUCCUCUUGAGGGUCAGAGGAGCUGAAGCGGGGAUAGGGCGUUGGGCAGGGCCGCUGCUCCCCGCUAUUCCCUUCACCUCCCACCUCCGACACACACCCAUCGCCCCCUCCAAGACUUUGCUGGUGCGGGCCUCCUCCCCUGGGAGAACUUCCCUCCUCCUAGGCUGCCAGGCACCCCGAGGUGCACCUUCUGCCAGGGCAAGGUGGUUGCCUUGAGUCAGGAGGCCCAGGGUCUGGGGAUCUGUGGGGACAGAGGAGCUGGUGGAAGUGUUCUGUAGGGUUGGGGGGGGGGGGGUGUUCACAGCCGGCUGCUAGCCCUCUCUACCCCAGCAGCAGGGGUCGCCUUACCCACAGUUUAUUUUUAUCUGUUUCAUGGGUUUGCACCCCAGGAGGAACAAAGUCCUGGGCGCCGUGUGUUUCUGCCAACAGUGCAAGAGCGUCUUUUCCAUCGAGCACCUCAGCUUCCAAAGGAGGUUGGUAAAAAAAAGCCCCACCCAUGCAGGGCGGGGCAGCGCAGAAAGGCAGGGCGCCCUCGCGGGUCCUGGGGAGAGUCAAGGUGCCGGGCCACGCCCAGCCAGGGAGGCGGACACGGAGCAUCCCCUCCCGGCUCAAGUUAGAGCUGAGCAUGGGGGCUGGGAGGACCGAAGCUAUUAUGGGGGUCGGGGUAGCUCUCUGUGGGGUCUCCCUGCCCUGAAAGGACUGACCUUGGCCUGACCACUCAUGGCUCACCCCUCGCCCAGGCCCAAAAUAGCCCCUUCGCUCGCCCUAUGGUCCCCUCCCCUCCCGUCUUCCUUGCACUCAAGCUCUCAAUUCCAGGCUUAACUGUUCAUAUGACCAACCUGCCCUUUCUCUGGGAUCCCCGGUCCUUCUCCACGAGAUCUAAGAACUCUCCACAAGGUUGCAUGUCGCUACGCUUUUGCACACACAGAUCUCCCCUUCCACCUCUGGCACGCUCAUCCCCGCUUGGCAUCCCCCUUUCUCUAUUCAGCUUUGGAAAUCCUUUCCAGGAGAUAACUUCUCUGGCUUCUGCCUCACUCUUUCCAGGUGUGCCCGAGACGCACUUGGGUUGUUCCCUCGUCCCACCGCAUAGUGUUUGGUUGUGUCGUUUACUUAGCUGUCCCCCCACUGGGGUGUGAGCUCCUUGAGAACUGACAUCUUUAAUUCAGGACUUUGCCUUCCUGCCCCACGUCUAGCACAAAGCAGGGGCAGACCCCAGGGGCGGGGAGGGGCUUCAGCGGGGGGCGGGGGGGGGGCAUCUGCAGGUAGCAGAGGGGUCUGGAAGAUGCCUUCCUCCACUACCCAGCUCCCAUCUGUCCCCUCCUUCAGCUCGCCCCAUCUUCUCCAAGGCCAGCCCGGAGAAGGGGACUGGGCGGCCUUCUCGCCCAGGUACCCUCUCUCACUGUUGCUCUGGUUGAGCCAAGACCCGUCCCACCCCGUCCUCCUUGAGGCCCCACUCGCAACGUUGCCCUUUUAAGAAAGAGGAAAUUCUUCUCAUAAACAAGCGCCCCAACCUGAGCGCGGAGCUCGGGUCGCCGGACCCCUGGGAAAUCGGGGGUGCUCCGGGGCACAGCGCCCACUCCAGGCUCAACCCAGGGGAAAGGCUCGGUGGCCCCUAGUCGCCGCCGCUCUCCACAGCUCCCGGCCUGGGGUCUGCGGGCCGGCAAGAGGCUAGAGGAGGGACUUGGGGGAGCCUAGAAACCGCCCAGGGAGCGUCUGUAAAGUACAGCCCCUGCACGGGGCGAAGGGGUGCCGGGCCGCUCCCAGCGGUCAGGGGGUUCCCCGCCCACACAGCGCCCGCGGCCCCCUCCACGCCUGGGCGGAUUCCGAGGCCCCAGGGCGCGAGGCCGGAGCGCCCGCCUUCUCCUCUUCAGCCCGGAGGGGUGAGGCCGAGGCUGGGAGUGUCGGCGCUCGGGACCGUCCCUGCCCCUAGGGGGAGCUAAGAGUCAGCGCGGAGGGAGCGUUAACUGCACGGCGUGGGAGUCUGGGCCGCCCGGUCCCCUGGGGAGAUGACAAAUGAAUUGGGCCUCGGAGGCAAGGACUCUUGGGAUCCUUCUGACCUGGCGCCUGAAGGGAGGAGAACCGCGCCUCGAUUUUACUGCCUGGAAAAUGGGUUGUGGGUGGGUGGAACAGAACGGCUGAGGCCACUCCAGCGAGACCAAGAGCAAACCAGACAUUGCCCUGCUCUUUGGGACAAGAAGUGAAGUCGAAUUUACAGAGCGUUCAUCCGACAGCGCCAGUGGGGAGCCUGUGUUCCGCCCCACACUGGGGCGGUCUGUCAGAUCGCUCCUAUAGGUGCUCAAUAAAUACUUUUGGAA